UGGGGAAUUUUGGACAAUGGGCGAAAGCCUGAUCCAGCAAUGCCGCGUGUGUGAAGAAGGCCUUCGGGUUGUAAAGCACUUUUGUCCGGAAAGAAAUCCUUGGCUCUAAUACAGUCGGGGGAUGACGGUACCGGAAGAAUAAGCACCGGCUAACUACGUGCCAGCAGCCGCGGUAAUACGUAGGGUGCAAGCGUUAAUCGGAAUUACUGGGCGUAAAGCGUGCGCAGGCGGUCCGCUAAGACAGAUGUGAAAUCCCCGGGCUUAACCUGGGAACUGCAUUUGUGACUGGCGGGCUAGAGUAUGGCAGAGGGGGGUAGAAUUCCACGUGUAGCAGUGAAAUGCGUAGAGAUGUGGAGGAAUACCGAUGGCGAAGGCAGCCCCCUGGGCCAAUACUGACGCUCAUGCACGAAAGCGUGGGGGAGCAAACAGGAUUAGAUACCCUGGUAGUCCACGCCCUAAACGAUGUCAACUAGUUGUCGGGUCUUCAUUGACUUGGUAACGUAGC
rnacentral:rRNA from 1 species